AUUGAACGCUGGCGGCAUGCUUUACACAUGCAAGUCGAACGGCAGCAUAGGUGCUUGCACCUGAUGGCGAGUGGCGAACGGGUGAGUAAUAUAUCGGAACAUGUCCGGAAGUGGGGGAUAACGUAGCGAAAGUUACGCUAAUACCGCAUAUGCCCUGAGGGGGAAAGGAGGGGAUCGCAAGACCUUUCGCUUUCGGAGUGGCCGAUAUCGGAUUAGCUAGUAGGUGAGGUAAAGGCUCACCUAGGCGACGAUCCGUAGCUGGUCUGAGAGGACGACCAGCCACACUGGGACUGAGACACGGCCCAGACUCCUACGGGAGGCAGCAGUGGGGAAUUUUGGACAAUGGGCGCAAGCCUGAUCCAGCCAUGCCGCGUGAGUGAAGAAGGCCUUCGGGUUGUAAAGCUCUUUCAGCCGGAAAGAAAUCGUACUUAUUAAUACUAAGUGCGGAUGACGGUACCGGAAGAAGAAGCACCGGCUAACUACGUGCCAGCCGCCGCCGUAAAAC
rnacentral:rRNA from 1 species